UUUGACUGAACAAAAUGUUCUGGCAGAAAAAUAAAUCAGACUUUUUGUCACAUCUUCAGCGCUCUAAACGCAGGUUUGUUUUGAAUUUGACCCAGAUUAUAUCGCUGCUGUUACUCUUUCCUUUUUUAGUCCUUCCUCUUUAGUGCUUUUUUGAGUUCUUCUCUCCUCUUCUCCCACUUCUCUGCCCUCCCCACCUUCUCCUCACAGUCCCCUUUCAUCCUCAGGUGAGGGUCUUACCCACACCCCCUUCUUUCCAGUUCACCUACCUGGGGUUGUACUUGGAGAACAAACUGGACUGGUCUAAGAACUUUUAAGCUGUCUACAAGAAGGUCAUCAGCCGUCUCUACGUCCUCCGGAGUCUGACGUCCUUCAACAUCUGCAGGAUGAUGCUGACUGAGGAUGCUCUUUGAGUCUGUGGGGUCCAGUGUGAUCCUGUUUGCUGUUGUGUGCAGGGGCAGUAGACUGAGAGUAGCUGGACUCUCUGAUGGUGGUGACAGAGUGGAGGAUGUAAUCUUGUACAGCAUCUACCACCCAACUCUUCCCUCUGAGUGUCCCUGGAUUUAUUAAGCUUUUCCACAACAUAUAAUCAUAUUUAACUGUGCAAUCUGUUUGUGAACUGGUCAAACUUUGAAUCAUCUAAGAGUGCAAUACUUAUAAUGCAUUGUUUAUUAAGCUAAUAAAUGCUGCACUGCUACACCAUCAAAAUCCGAAACCAGCACUUAAGGGUAGGAGACAGAUCUAAAGUGGGGCUUAUCCUGUGAACUAGGAUCCUUUUAUUCAUUCAUUCAGGUACUAUAGGUACUACUGUUGCAUAUCUAGAAGUACGCAGGAGUGCAUAGUUGACAUCCAGUGAUUCCUGGUUAACGCAACAGCAUUAGGACUUUUCAGGGGUUUCAGUUUGGUUUGUUUCUUUGAUUUAGUUUCUUCCCCCUGUUCUCGCCCUUCAAAAUAAAAGCUCUGCCAACUUCUGUGAUGCAGUCUGACCGGCUGCACCUUAUCUCAGAGCUAAAACUCAAAGUAGACUUUAGUGAUAUGUUGCCUCAGUUUGGCUUAUCACUUUUCAAAUGUCACCAGAGCCAUCCUGGAGAUUUUCAAAAUGAAAUGCGCCAUGGUGGUGUCAUCAGUUAUACCCUUACUUCACCGCCAUUAACACCUUAAAGUUCACAGACACUAUUUGUUCAAUUUUUAUUUACAUUUUUCACUUUUUUUCAACUGUGUUUCAAGUGUUUUUGUGUGCAAAAUAAAGUAAACUUGGUCACGACUUUGUUAUAACCUGUUCUGUGUUUACAGAGUAAUUCUGGGUAAAGACUCUCAGGAUGAGUUUGUCUCACCCUAGUUGGUCAGCGCUCUCUCUCUCUCUCUCUCUCUCUCUCUCUCUCUUCCUUCUCCUCUUCUCUCUCUCUCUCUGUCGGUAUUGUUGCUGCUGCUGCUUGUUGUGCUCUGCUGGGACAGUUUGGGUGCUGCUUGGGACGCAAUGAACCCGCUCCAUCAAUAAUGCAGAAUGUUUCCGUGGUAACUGCCUGGCAACCGCCUGCAUCCCGUACGGGAGAAAGAGCGAGGAUGAAUGAGAGAGGAAAAACGAGAAGGCAGUGAGAAAGAUGAGAGGAGGAAGAGAGGAACAAGUGAGAAAAAGAGUUUAAGAAGGAACUGGAGAUGGACGAUGGUUAGAAAGUGUGUGAAGUACGGAGGGAAAAUGUGAAAAAGAGGAGUGAGGGAGAGAUAAAGUUAAAAACUGUUGGAGCUACUACAUGAAAAACACGAAUGUCCGUUUUAAUUCCUGCUUAAUUCCUAAUUCCUGCUUCAUGUAGACUUGAUGAGUGGUUCAACAUUCCCAAAAAUGACACCUUUGCUCCCUUCCUUGAAUCCAUUUUUGCACGUUAUUUCUAACUUGGCGGCACUGGGCUUUCAAAACAAACUUUUUUGGAUGUGUGGCACAAUUAAAGCUCCUGUAAGGGUUUUUAGCUCGCAGUUAAAAAAGAUUGAAAUUGAUACAGAUUGUGUUUUUAUGACUCAGAAAAGUGUAGAGGACCAUUUCCAGGAAGGAUGACAAUUGCUGGUCAGCUAUUUUUAAUGUCUGAAACAGUUGGUGGGGGGUCGGUGUCAGACGAAGUGGUGUACUUCAUACUGCAAAUACAGCCUCCAUUUAUAUUUGAUAAUAACUGAUUCAUGGGACUGUUACAAGAGAAAAGGAAAUCAAUCAAUCAAUCUUUCUCUGUUGUCCUCAGACGAGCUUCCAUCGGAGUCUCCAAUCCUCCCGAUUCUCCAUACUCCAGCUCCGAAGAGCUUUCAGCUCCACAUACGUAAGCGCUGAAUGUCCUCGCGAACGGUGCCCGUGUGUUGGUUCCUGCUGGCCGGGAGCUCCUGAUGUCUGUGGCAGUGGCCGGCCAGCCACAUCCUCCAAGAUGCUACGUUCUCGCCCGUACAGGUCCUUGUUGGUAAUGUGGAUGUUCUGGUCCACGUUCAGCACAGCUCGUAGCAUUCUGGUGUAGCACCCAUCCAAGGACUUCUGCAGGGUGGGUGUCAGGGUCCAGCUUUCGCAGCCGUACAGGAGGACGGACUCCACAGUGUCAUGGAAUAGGUUCAGCUUUAUGUGUCUGGAGAGAUUCGAGCACCACACUCUCAACAUACCGUUCAGGGCCCUCCACGCUAGUGCCUUCCUGACCAUACGGACCUGUUCUGUGGAGUCGACCCAGGAACUCAAGUAUUUAAAGUCAUCGACCUCUCGCAGAGCAUUGCCAUCUGACGUUGUAAUCUGCGGAUGGUCCACGUGGGAGUUACAGGUAAUUACCUCCAUCUUCUUCGCAUUCAGUCAGAGGCCAACCUCAGCAACCUAAUCAGUCUUUAUUUAUACGGCACUUUUCAUACACAACCAUGUAGCACAAAGUGCUUUACACAGAAAAGGGAAUAAAAGAAACAAAGAAUACCCAAAUCUACCCCAGCCCAACCCCUCAUUCCCACGAUCUAACUGCAACAGAAACAGUAUUAAAAUGCAUAAACUUGAAAAGGCUUGAUUUCAUGGAAACAGGAAUAUGCACACUGAGGAAACAUCAUUUUAAAACUCGAGAUAAGGAAACACUCGAGGUUUAGAUUAAAAUCUAAAAACAAAGAAACAUAGAAUGAAAUUGAAGAAAUAAUCAAAGUCAAAGAUACUAAAAUAAGAGCACCAAAAUAGCUCAUUAAAAGAUGAUCCUGUCGUUAAAACUCAAAUUGAUGAAUGCUAAAACACUUAAAGUUAAUGAUGUAAAAUUUAGUUAAAUGACAAACUAAUUACAGAUGUAAAUUGAAAAAAUCAGCAAAGAUCUCUUUGUCCACAGGGGGCACCAGAAUCAACAUAGACAAAAAGGCUGCUGUAUGUGACCAUUUGGUCUGAAACGCAGUUCCUAAGACCUGUUUCAGCCAAACGGCAGCAAAGAGACCCUACAGGCAGACUUUGAAGGAGUAAAACAAGUGUCUUCGUUGUUUGUUUGUGUAUAAGUGUGUGUGUUUUGUGACCGUAUAGGCGCGCCGUGUCCGUCCUGCAGGCCAGCAGUCGGUGAAGAGAUUCAGCGUGUGUUUAAAACAUUCAUCACCCCCCUCCUCUCCUCGUUUGUAGCAGUGAAUUAUUAAACGCUCACCUAUUUUUCAAUUAUUCAAAUGGGAGAUCUCUCACUUUUUUGUUGUUAAUCUGGGCUUUUACCGGCACUUUAACAUUCCUUUUAAUCUGCGUGAGUUUUCACUUCGGCCCGUCACUUUACUUUUGGCUCUUUAAUAUCUGAUUUUAGGGAAAUUUUCACAGAGAAAAAGGAAAAUUCAGGUUUUUAAAAGUUCAGGGUUUUGUGUUAUGGCAGGGGCCCGUCCCCCAAUCUCUCUUAUUGGGUCUUCUUAGUCUCUUCCUGUCUCUGGUGGGAUGCUGCAUUGGACGGGGUUUCCUCUCUCCCUCUCUAAAACAUGAUUAAUACUUGAUGCUGCCAUGAUAGCUAUCCCUUGUACGUUAGCAUUCGGUGGAUGCUCCAGACUGUGGGGAGAUGUCGCUCUUUGUGAGUCCGUGUCAGAGUGUGUGUGUGUGUGUGUGUGUGUGUGUGUGCAGGGGUUCUUACAACUUUGUCUGGGUGAUUAAGGCCACAUGUUAUUGAUUGGCAGACCCCUUGAAGUGCAACAUGAUCAUAAAUAAUUCUCCUGCCUCGCAGAAUAAACUAUCACCUUUGUCGGCCGCACUGACAGCCUCCCAUUGAAGACCAAAUGCAUUUUUUAUGUUUUUACUUGACCUUAAUUUAAGUUGUACAAGAGCGAUUUCUUAUUUACGAGCUCUGGAGGAAAUCAACAGAUGUGCAAACCGUUUAGGGCGCUCAGUUCAAAUAUGGAUGAAUACAGCAGGAAAUAUUUGGUAUUAUUGGUCUGUGUGAUUUUAGCAGUCUUAUAUUUGCUAACUCACAUUUUAUUCAGGAAUAAAUCCACUGCAGCUUUGAUACUUUCUCCUUUUUACUAAGAGAUAAAGACUUUCAUUUCUCAAAUGCACAGAUCACAGCAGAGGGAAACUUCUCAUGGAUUCUGUUUUAACUUGCAGAGCCGUCCUUUCUCGUUCACUCAGUCACCUUUCAAACAGGAAUCCUCUGUUUCAGAAAGCACCGAUUUAUACCUCAUCCUCAACAGGAAAGUCUGUCACAAAUUCUCUGAUAUUUCUGUUGAAAAUGUUGAGGUGUACACCCUCUCUGCAGACUCUCACUCUGCAGUGCACACCCCACUGUAGAGUCCAGCUGUCGGCUUUUUCCCUUAAUACUGAAUAGUUAGACAUACUGAUUCAGAAGUGUCUCUGCAGGUGGUUUAGUGUUUACCGAACAACUACUAAUAGAGUAACAUGUUGCACCUUAGGUUUUGUAAGCAACAUUGUAUUAUUGUGCAUAUGCUGUUUGCAAAUUAAUCCUGCAGACUCAGAUAUUCCUAACUGACCUGCAGUCACUAACCCUACCCCCAACCCUAACCCUAAUCUCAACCCUAACCCUAGCCAAAACCUUAACCCUAGCCCCAACCUAGCUAGGGUUGGGGUUAGGGUUAGGGCUAGGGUUGAAGUUAGGGUUCAGGUUGAGGCUAGGGUUUAUGUUUGGGUUGGGGCUAGGGUUAGGGUUGGGGUUGGAACCCUACCUCCAACCCUAACAAUAACCCUAACCCUACCCCCAACCCAAACCCUAGCCUCAACCCCAACCCUAGCCAUGUUCUACAGAGGCUUAGGAAGUGAAGUUCAAGAUGUCUUUUCAAAAUAAAACUUGAGCUUUUGCAAUUUGAAGUUACACAUUAAUUUAACACACAGUUAAUGCAGUAAAACUGAUGCAGUUUGGUAACACUUACACGAUAAAUGACUGCUGAAGGUUUUCUGUUCAUAAGGCUAUAUAGGUUAUAACCUGGGUGUGGUAAAUACUUGAUUCUGAUUGGCUGAAACUCCAUAAGUCAGACGUGAACCCGAUCAAACACGCUUUGCUAAAUUAAUCUGCAGAACUUUGACCUCUGCCUGUUGACACUGUGGCAAAACCUUAAUUUAAGUCUCAUGUUUGGUCUUGAGAGUCUGGAAAUAAACAAAUGUAGUGGUUAGGGAUGUGAGGGCAGCCUGAGGAGCCAUGUCUGAAAGAGGAACGGGAAGCAGCUUCAUGUCCUGCAAUCCGUGCACCUGCAGCAGAGCUGGUGUGAGCAUCUCUAAACCGGGGAUCUUUAUAAAGUAACUUAAAGCUCUAAUGGGGAGUUUUUCCUGAAUCUGACUGAAAUCAAGAUUGAUGUUGAAUGCAAACAAGACCAUCAAAGAUAAGAUUAACAUUUUCUUUGUAUUGGUGUUGAUGCAAUAAAGAAUAUAAUCAGGGUGGAAUAAGACCCCGUUUGGGUUGGGGCUAGGGUUAGGGUUGGGGUUGGAACCCUACCUCCAACCCUAACAAUAACCCUAACCCUACCCCCAACCCAAACCCAAACCCUAGCCUCAACCCCAACCCUAGCUUCUACCCUAACCCUAGCCUAAACCUUAACCUUAGCCCCAAUCCUAACCCUAGCCCUAACCCUUGCCCCAACCUAACUAGGCUUGGGGCUAAAGGGUUAGGGAAAAGGUUGAGGUUAGGGUUGAGGUUAGGGUUAGUGUUGGGGUUAGGGUUAGGGUUAGUGUUAGGAUUAGGGUUGGGCUGGUGUUAGGGUUAGUGUUGGGGUUAGGGUUAGGGUUGAGGCUAGGGUUGGGUUAGGGUUAGUGUUAGGAUUAGGGUUGGGCUGGGGUUAGUGUUGGGGCUAGGGUUAGGGUUAAUACGUUCAGAAGUGCAAUAAUGUUCUGUAAUGUUCUGGUUGAUGUACAGAGCCGACAGCCUGCGUUUGGCUUGAGCGUGUGAUGAAGUUUCCAGCUUUUCUAACCAAUCAGAAGCGAAGGAGGCGGGACUUUUCCCCACCGUCCUACAAAAAAAAAUAAUGCCCCCAGGACAGAACCCUGUGGAACACCAGAUAUGACCUGAGAAAGAUUUGAACAUUUAGAGUAAACACUUUAAUUUUUCAAGCAUUUGUUUAUUAUUUUUCUUUAAUACAAAUAUAACUUGAAACACAGUUUUAAAAUCUGUUUGUUUUUACACCAAUUCUGAUGCUUCAUCAUCUUCCUUUGCUUAAAUUCUGUGGUAGUUUUAUUAGAAACGUUGACACCGUUGGUUUCAGGCCGUUUAAUCAUUUAAGGAAAUGUUAAAUCGCACUUUCAAUGUCCAUGAAAAUCAUCUGUCAUUUUAGAAAUGGUCUCAAUUGGUGACCACACAUCUCUUCACUUUUAAGCCCUCUGUAGAACAAGCCGAACACACACAGACCGGCCUGUUCAAACAGAAACAAAGACAUACUAACGGCUCACAGAGGAGCAGAUAUAAAGACAGCCGACGGGGGGAAAGACAGAGGGAUGAAAGCGGCUUGCAAAAACCCUCUCUAAGCGUUUCCCUGCAUGUGAAGUCAGUCGCUCAGCCUUCUGGGAUACGAUGCUGCCUGUUUGAUGCCUUUGAGACUCUGAGACGGCCUCAUCCAUAUUACAUCGUCUUUACCAUGAGCUGUGAUCGCUCCUCUUAGAGAUGCAGAGUGGCAUUAGGGACAGGGGGAGGAAGAAAGGGAAAAAGAUGAGGAAGGAGAUGAUGGAGGGAGGAGCAUAAUAAAGAAAAGAGAAGGGGGAAAAAUACCAAAUGAAGAGCUGAUUGAAAGACAGAAAAUAGAGGUUUUGAUUUUAAAUAGCACACCCUCAUCCUUGAGUUAUCUUUCCCUAACCAAGAGAGAGAGUGAGAGCUUUGUCCACAGGGGGCGCUAACAUUGACACAAACUAAAAGUUCCUCACAGGAGCUUUAAUAUCUGCAUUAAAGGAGUUACCUUUUUAACCUUCACCAGACCCCCAUUUUUACAGCUUUAGAUGAAUAAUUUCCCUCAGCCAGGUAACUAAUAGACUGCAUAUGUAGGAACACUUUAAACGAGAUUUACUCCUCCAACAUAAACAUUGUCAUCCAUCACAUUUCAUUGUGCAUAUUCAGAUAUUUUUUGGGAGUCUCAGCUUCAUUGAAAAAAGUUAUUUACACAGAGGCUUUCCUAAGACAGAAACCAAUUUUCUGCAAUAAAUGGGUCUCAAAUCUGCUGAAAUUACAUCAUAAUAUAAAUUUAGAAAAAGGAUCUUUUCUUUUGAACGUUUUCCUCCAGUCUUGUCUUGGCUCUUGCCCCCCCCAGAUUGUUGUAUCACAGUGUUCUGGAGUGAACUCACAUGAGACGAGGGUUGAGGGUGACAGAAAGCUGGAGGGAGGGGUAGAGAGGGUGGAGUGUGUGAGGUGGGGGGUGAUGGGUUCUUCAGUAGUUGUGUGAUCUCAGCCACCAGUUCCACAGCUGGUGCACCAGCAGGCAGCCCAGCCUGGCCAUAUGCUGCCUGGGCUGCUCCCAUUGCUCCCAUUAUCCUCAGUUGAGAACCACCCCCCACCCUCACCCCGCCUCACCCCAACCCCCAAACACUGCAACUAUUGUCAUGCAAUGAUGUACUUAUGAGUGUUCGAGUUUACAUGUAGUCUGUCAUUUUAUACUGUAGAGUUAAGUUUUCGCGCUGGGAUUCAAAAUAUUUUAAAAAUCACCCAGAAGUUUUUGUGUGUGCAAGAAACUUCCUGCUGUUUGGAGACGUUACAUCUGAAAUGCUCAUAUGCUGGUAGUUGUUGGUGCUGCAGAUGACGGGAUUCUUACACUGUAGACAUGCAUGUAUGAGUCUACCAAAACUUUUAAAAUCAGUAAAAUCAGUAUAUAGUAAGUCACAUGAAGAAAAAAUCAUCAUUUAAAAAACUUCUCCAGAGUCUUCAGUUACUUUUAUCGUCGUCUCUGGAUUGGAUAAUAAUUAAUUUAGAUGGAUAAAAUAUUUGACUGUAAAUUUACAACUACUUUACAGUAAUUCACUGUCAAUAUUUCACAGUGGUUAACUUUGCCUGUGUUGAUUUCAAUGUAAAAUUUGACGUUACAAUACUGUAUUGUGAACAUUGCAAUUAAAGCCUGUGAAGUGAAUCCAAGAGUAAAAUAAUGUAAAAUUCUGGUAGUAAUUUAGUGGAGAAAAGGAGACAGGUUUCAGAAACAAUAUUUCUCGUUGUUAUUCUAAGUGUAUAUUUUUGGAGACUGUCUUGACAAAAAUGAGGCUAAAAAUAGUGAAAAGAAAACAUAUGAAGUGUUGACAGUGGUAAAUUUGAUUAUUUCAUUUCAGCUCAUUUCAAACUCAAAACCAGCAACAUGAUUAAUAAAAAAGUUUGGACGGAGAUGACAAAACUGAAAAAAAAUCUCCUUCAAUGAUUUUGAUUUCCUAAAGAUUGACUUUAAAAAGUCAGAGAGUCUCUUAGAAAUGAAGCCUGGCUGUUACACUAUGAGAGAUCACAUGAGCGAAUACUUUGUCACUUCUAUAAUAAUGUAAAAUCAUCAACAGUACUCUCAUACAUGCAUUAAAAGAUUCAGCGCAUCUAAGGCUGUCAACCAUGACUGUGAGCGUCUGCCCUUGGGUGGCUCUUCAUUGAAGACAGACACGACUCUGUAGUGGACAUCACCGUAAAUGCAGCUUUAAACUCGGUCAGUGAGGAGAAAACCGUGAACAUAAUCUGAAAACACCUGUAAUGUUUUCAUCGACAUCAUUUAAAUUUCUUUGGUAAAACCACAAAAAGUGGAGCUGGGAUGUUGAUGAUUGCAGAUACUAAAUGUUCUAACUACUUUAAAAUCUUUUACUAUUUUCAGUUUUUCAAUAACAGUUUCAAUGCUGAAUUGACUUCCUGUCACUGUUUGGAAAGACUCAGGAAAUCCUCAGGGACUUUUUUUUCAGUUUUGAUCCUUUUUCACCUCGAGCCAUUUUCAGCCUCCCUGCAGAGUCCCGUCCCCUCCCUUUUUUUUAGCGCUCACCCCCAGGCCGUCCUCAACUCUCACAGACCUCCUAUCCUCUGAUGUAACCCUCCUCACUGUGACACCGCAUCCCCCCACCCUCUUCUUCUUCUUCCUCGUCCUCACCCUCCCACUCUCCCUGUUUCUGGGUCUCUCGUCCUGUGUGGGCCCCCGUCAGCAGCUCAGGGUCAGCUACAGUUUCAGAAAUCCUGCUCUCACUGCUGUCACCUAUCUACUUAGCUGUGACCCCCCACCCCCCACCACCCCCAUCUCACAACACACACCAAGCCACAAACCACACUGCUGCUGCUGUCACACCGUUUCCUCCCGAUGCUCUUAAAAUUGAUUUCUUUGAGCUGGUGUUGCUUUAUGAGUUUUUUGUUUUGUUUUGAACUUUAAUCAGAUUUUCAUUAAGAAAACAAUAUAAUGUAUAGAUAAUGGAGGAGUCUUAUUUCACUCGAUUAUAUUCUUUAUCGCAUCAACACCAAUACAAAGAAAAUGUUAAUCUUAUCUUUGAUGGUCUUGUUUGCAUUAAUCUUGAUUUCAGUCAGAUUCAGGAAAAACUCCCCAUUAGAGCUUUAAGUUACUUUAUAAAGAUCCCCGGUUUAGAGAUGCUCACACCAGCUCUGAUGCAGGUGCAAGGACUGCUUCCCUUUCCUCUUUCAGACAUGGCUCCUCAGGCUGCCCUCACAUCCCUAACCACUACAUUUGUUUAUCUCCAGACUCUCAAGACCAAACAUGAGACUUAAAUUAAGGUUUUUCCACAGUGUCAACAGGCAGAGGUCAAAGUUCUGCAGAUUAAUUUAGCAAAGCGUGUUUGAUCGGGUUCACAUCUGACUUAUGGAGUUUCAGCCAAUCAGAAUCAAGUAUUUACCACACCCAGGUUAUAACCUAUUUAGCCUUAUGAACAGAAAACCUUCAGCAGUCAUUUAUCGUGUAAGUGUUACCAAACUGCAUCUGUUUUACUGCUUUAACCAUGCGUUAAAUUAAUGUACAACUUCGAAUUGCAAAAGCUCAAGUUUUAUUUUGAAAGGACAUCUUGAACACUUCCUAAGCCUCUGUAAAACAUGGCAAACAUGCAGAAGUCAUUUCUCCUCUCUCUGUUUGGAUGUGUGUCAUAUUUUUAUCUUAUCUUAUCUCAUCUGGAUUUUCUAAACAGAUCUGAUUUCUGUUUGUAAAAACAGAAAGCAUCAGUGAGCUGUAACUCUUCAUCUCUUCACUCUGCUGGAGAAAAAAAACUGUAUUGGCAGGCUCGCAGUUAGUCCUCAUUACAUAUUGAUACAGUUGAACAUACAGUAAAGUGUGUAUUAAGUAUUAAGCACUUUAAAUUUUUCCCUCUCUCCAAAUUUGUGAGCCAAAUUUGUGCAUCUUUAAUGUUUUAUUUACUUGCAGCUGGUGAGCCACGGUAUAAUAAUUUCUGCCUCUGCUGUGGGGAGCUGGGGUUUAUCGUGUCGCACACUCCUGGGUGGUACUGCUGCUUUGCAUACAUGCACACACACACACACAUAGAUAGAUAUACAGGCAAAUGUGGGGAACAGUCACGGGUCACAAGCAACGAUCGAUGCAACAUCCAUUGUAACACUGCAUACUAGGCUGUUAUGUGCUUAUUAUUGCUGAGAGAGCUCAUGAGGAAGCUCUGGCCAUGUCUCAGGUUGUAGUUUUCAGCAGGUGCAGCAGGUGUGGAAGAGGAGAUGUCGAUGGUGUCUUUGUUUUCUGGCAAGUUUAAUCUCAAAACCUUAUGUCCUGACAAAAACUACAUUUUUCUUCUUCAGCUCAGCCCAUAAUCAAGAGAAGCACACUCUCGGGGAAACACACAUCCAAUUUUCUGUGUGAACCUGAUGCCGCAGUGUGGUUUGAGGGUCAGGCCUCCUCCUCCUCCUCCUCCUCCUCCUCCUCCUCCAGCAGCAGCAGCAGCAGCGGUCAGUGUUUGUUUGGUUAAAACUGCACGACAACGAGGUCGGAUUUCACAGAGAGGGAAGAGAGAGACGGCAAAUAUGACACCUCUCCUCAGCAUCCCUUAGACACACUGAUACACCAUACACACACACACACACACACACACAGCAUCAAACACACACCACCACACACCUUUUGUUUACUAAACAUUCCACCUUUGAAAUAUUUAUUACAACUGGGAGUCUCAGUGUGUGUAUGUGUGUGUGUGUGUGUGUGUGUGUGUGUGUGUGUGUGUGUGUGUGUGUGUGUGUGUGUGUCUGUCUGUGUGUGAGGUUACCUCAGAGACAGCUGAUUAUCAGGGAAGAGGAGAUGAUAAUAGUGUGUAAAAGAGGCAUGUGUCACACCGAUACUCAUUUAUAUAUAGACAGAGAUAUGCGUCACACUUCAUACUGUCAGCUUCUUCACCUGUACUUCAAGUUAUUUUAUUCCUGCAUGUUUCAUAUUUUCAAACAUAUGCAUUUAUUUUAAUUAAUAACACUUUUUCUCAUGCAAAUCUUUUAAUACAGGACUGACUUUCAGUCAAAUGUUUGUUUUUUUUUUAAAGCUGACACUUCUGCACACUGACACUGAAAUCCUGUGGAAAUCUGAAUGCAAAACAAAGUGGUGAGCAGAAGAGAUGCACUAAUUCAUCUUUGCACAUUCUUGCACACCAAGCAGACGUAUUAUCAUAGUGAAUCUGUGUGAUCAAUAAGUGAUCAAGGCCUGUGCGAUGCUUUCUCCGCCAUCUCGUUCCUGCUGCAGAAUGUGCAAACUACGGUAGCCCUCAAGGUCAAUGGUAGAAAUAUUUCAGGAGUGCAAUAAUUUGGUAUGCAGAUGUUAUUUAAAAAUUAUUGCAUGUUUUUAUAAUCUAUUUGCAAUUAUGUGAAAUAUCUUUAUGUUUUGCAUUUUUUUAUGAAACAUAAUUUAUUAACCUUCUGAAAUAUCUAUACCAUUGACCUUUUAGGGCCACCGUACAUGCCUGGAACUCCAUCAGCAUGAAGAUUAUCACUCUUAGACAAACAUCAGGUAUGUCGUAAAUGUAAGGUUACAAAGGUCUGUGCGCCGGCUGAGGAAUCGAGUACAUUCGCACUUCACACGCCAGUUUUGACCGUGAACAAUGAAAACGAUACCUGAACCAGCAGAAAUCAGUCUGGACAGCGCACAUGGAUCCACAUGGGGAAUAGGUUGAGAUAUAUGGAAGAGCCAGAGGUCACAGAGGUCAAAGGUCACAGGCUUCCACAUGUAACUUGAGAUUGGAGAUGAUAUACUGUAGGUCAAAGGUCGAGGUUGUUACUUUUUCUCUUUUGUCGCUCCGGCUCUAUUUCAUCUUUCAUCAUGUUAAAGAUCGGCUCUGAUGUGAUGACAGUUAUCUCACAUUUUCACGCACAAAAACACACACUAUCCCACACACACACACACGCACACACUUACACACACUUACACACAGAGUCUGAAUCUGUCUGCCGCUCUUUAAUCACGUUUAGCUUCAUUGUUUUAAUUUCCCAGCUCAUCGCUCUCCCUCCUCUCUCCUGAAUCUCAUUGGACAAUGAAAUCAGGAGUAAAGUGGGACUGAUCCUCAUAAAUCAUUAAGCAAGGUUUGUUUUGCCUUGUGAAUGUAAUUAAUACAUAAUUAAUAUUUAAAGAUCCUCUCGUUUAUCAAAAUUAAUUUCUCUGCUGCGACAGAUGCAAAGAUGGAGGAAAACAAACAAACGAAUGGAGGAGGUGGGUUUUUUUCUGGAGGAAGGGAAGAGAGCGAGAAACAAAGGAGGGAGGUGAAGAGAAAUUAGCGGUAAUGAGGAACAAAUGAGGCGACGUCUUAAUUAGCUGACAGGUAGUGGCUCAGUCCCAGAGGAAGAAGAGGUGAAUUUAGCCUCCCUGUCAGGUUGUACAUGGCUUUGUUUGCAUAAUUCAAAGUUAAAAAAAAGAAAGAUUGAACUUCAGACUAUUUUUUAAUUGACUACAAGAUAAUUAGGCAAAAUAUUGUGCAAAUAAUUGCAUCUCUCUCUCUCUCUCUCUCUCGCUCUCUCUUUCUUCACUCGUCCUCCGCCUCUGGAGACUGUCACAAGAGCGAGUUGUUCAGUGCCGUUAAGUGGGACCACUUUACCCUGUCAAUACUUUGAAUAGAGCCGUAUUGACCUGUGCCAUGAGACGACUUCACAGAGAGAGAGAGAGAGAGAGAGAGAGAGAGAGAGGAUGGAAAAAUAAGAAAAAUAAAAGAUGGAGAGAAGUAAGAUGAUAGGAGUCGUAUUUUCUGUAUUUUAAAUUGAUUUUUAUUCAGUCAUUUCUCUUAUUUUUUUACCUUUAUGAUUGUCAGUUUGUCUGAUACAGAGUCGCUGUUGUGAUGCUUCACCAAGACGCAUCUACCAGUCUAGAAAGCCAAGGUGCUGAAAACUGCAGUUCCUCCAGUGUCCACUUGGGGCUGGCUCCAAAAGUAUCAGCAACCACACACACAUAAAAAAAGCAGAUUUUUACAACAAAUAACCUUUUUUUUUCUGGUUUAUCUGAAUAUCUUCUAUCUAUCACAGAGUUCUUUUUUUAAAUUUUAUAUAAUUUUUGAAGAUAUUAACACUUCAAUGCCUGAAACCACAAAUUAUGGCCAGAAAAUUCUUUUUUUUUUUUUUGGAGCUGAAAUGUUUAUUUUACUUACGACUGAAAACCAAAAAAAUCCAAAUGUCCUUAAAUGUUUGAUACAUCAGAUGUUUUUGGAAACUGAUAAACCACAAGAGGACAUUUUAAUCAUUUAUCUGACUGUGUUAAGGUGUUUUUUUUUUUUUUGUAAUUUGUUGAUCAUAUUGAUUGAUAGAAGUAUUAUAAAAGUAUGUAUCAAAUAUGAUACAAAGGGCAAUAAAGGGUUAAGGUGACAAAUUUUGCAGCAUUGGACACACAGCGGACUCGGACAUCUGGGCAUAAUGUAGCUGUAGGCGAGGAAGUUUAAGGCCUACCUCUUUGACUCUUGGUAGGUUGAGUUAGCCUUUCUGAUAUGGUGAGCACUGCCAAUAAGCUUUUAAACUAUGCUUCAGAUACAGGUGAUGUUACUCACGUCAUACAUUUAGAGGCUUAAGUCCUAGCUGUUGUGGUCGUGACCCUUUGCUUCAUGCUGUUGUCGCCCUUUCUCCUCAAUAACCUGCAACACAAUGGAAAGAGAUGUUGGGCUUUUUAGAAAUGGAGCUGAAUUAAAAAAAACAAAAAAACAAGUAGGACCUAAAAUGGAGCCUUGAGGAACUCCUGAAACUAGAGGGGCUGCUUUUGAAUAUUACUGGCCAAGAUGAAUGGAGAACCUCAAACCUCAAACCAUGACGUGAGAGUCUGGUGAUCGUCUGCAUCAAAUGUCAAAAGCGGCAAAGCAGUCAAGUCCAGAAACAGAGAGUGGUAGAGGUUCAUAUGUUUGCACGUACACCUGCAUGACUGAAUAAAAGAGCAGAGGGCAUCAAACACACACACACACACACACACACACACACACACUUCCUGGGCCCUGUGCUCUGAUGAAAGCAGUUCCUGGCUAAUGGGUUAAUUUCAUUCCACUGCUCUCUGCCAUGUUGAGGACAAUUAGCCCAGAAUGGAGCUGUGAAUAUUUAAUGACAUCCACUGCAAAGGUAGAAAGAGAGAGAGAGAGAGAGAGAGAAAGAGAGAGCCUUGGUUGGGAGAUUGGAGGGUCAGAAAGCAGAAGAAAUUCCUGCUCAGAGAAGAAGGAAGGCAGAACGACGGGAUGAUAUUGGACCUCAGGUUUAGCUGUAACUGUCCAAGACUCUUAAGUAUAUGAACCUUUCUUAAGUUUAGCCAAAGAUCACGGGCUUUAGAAACACAAGAAAAGUCAUGUACUGCAGCACACAGGUUGGUGUGUCUUUGUAUUGCAUGACCAUAUUGUACAGUGUGCAUCUUUUCAAUAAAUAAUAAAUAAAUAACACACCUUUACUUCUCCUCACUGAAAAAUAAACUUUGCAAACUUUCCUCACAGGUCUCAAAGUUUUUGACUUCUACCUUCAGAGUUGACGAAGACUGAAGAAACUCGAUCAAUUUUACAAGAUCUCAACUUUGCGAAGCGCUCCAGCUUUAAAUUUAAAAGACAAAGAAUGAAGAAAUGAUGUUUACACCGCUGGACCACGGUUCAGUACCUUGUCACUUUGGACUUUCAAACUCACAAUUAAGUUGAAUACAAGAUGGCGGACUGGCAGACGAACUUCUGAUCAGCUGGACUAUUCGGCGUGUGCCCUGAGGUGACAAGUGUAAAAGCUACACUGCGGCCUGUCAAUCAAAAUCCACCUCCAGCGCGCCGAUUCUGCAGAGAAACACAGAAAACUGAAUGAAACCCGAACACAGAGCAGCACUCCUUAAUUGGUGAAUUGAUCCUCAUCUGCCAAUCAAAACCCUGAAUUAUUAAUUGAAUGGAUGACAGUAUUGAGGAGCCUGAUUUAUUGGAUGAGGAGCUGGGAUGCUGAUGGGUUGUUAUGGUGAUGAGGGUUGUUAUGGAGAUAAUGGAGGGCUCAUGAUUGAACAGUGGAAGGUAUUGAUUGUGUGUUUGACAGCUUUACUGCCCCUCAGUGUCUGAGUGAAACAGAUUAUGUUACAUGUUUCAUGUGCAGCAUGAGAGUAAAAGUAUGAGCCGAGACUCUGUAAUGACAACUUUCAGCAGAAGGACUGAAGUGUGACAGACUGAUGGGGAUUCGCUGUGCUAGUCAGAGAUCCUGAGAGGUCUUACUUCACUAUUUACAACCCCAAUCCCCCCAAAAUCUCAACAUUGUAAAUACUGAUUCAUAAAACAAUGCUGAUGUAAAGCAUCUGACAAAACAAUGAAAAGUUGUGUAACACUUUAAAACGCCUCACAGCUAAUGAGGUUAAUUUACAACAGGUUAGUAACAUGACUAAGGCAUUCAAGAGAGGCUGUGAGAGACUGUGUGAGCAAAUAGUUCACCACUUUCAGAAUAACUUUGGGGAUUUCACCAUCUACAGUAUUCAGAAAAAAUCUGGGAAAAAUAUCUGGACUAAAGUGACAAGCUCAGAAACUUUAAAAACUGACAUGACUCCAAAUCACUCCUAAAUAUCCGUUUCUGUGAGCUCAUUUUUUUUGCUUGUUGCAUCAACAAACAGGUUAAAACUGUAAAAUGCAAAGAGGAAACCACAUGAUCCAGAAACAUUAUUGAAGCCUGUGCCAAUUUCAGAAGCCUUCCUGUCGUCUUAAAAACAAAUUUUAAAAUUCUUUUGGAAAUCAUGAACAUCACACCCUGGGGCUUGUUAUCAGCUCAGGGUUCAAAACCCAGCAUCCAUACGUGUCCAUGGCAUGGGUAGCUUGAACAUCCUGGAAGGUACUAUCAGUGCUUGUUGUGCACUUUGAGAUUUGUUUUUAAAUGUUAAGUGCGCUACAAAUAAAAUCUAUUAUUAUUAAUAUUAUUAUCAGUGCUGAACAAGUUAUACAUAUCGUCACCCUAUUAAAAUAAUGGCCUAAGUCAUUUUCGACGAAAACGAGUUUUUGGCCGAUAUCAUCUCGAAAUCAUCUCAAUAGAUGAUGUAGGACAAAAACAAAUUUUUGUCAAAAAAUGACUUAGGUCAUUAUUUUAAUAGGGGAAAAUAUGCUGCCAUGAUAAGGAAGGAAGAUGCCAAACAACAUUUUGCUUGCGAUACAUGCUCCAACCUUUCUGAAACACUUUGUCUUACCCUCUUCGUUUUCAGUGUUUGAUAUGUUGCCUUUACUCCAUCUUGAAAUGAGGCCUUUACCAGCUCACACCAGGAAAAUAGUCAUGGGUAAACACAGUGACUUUGGUAAUAAGAGCCCGCUCCACAUGCAGCCACCUUUCUGGUUAAGCUCUACCUGGAGCCGUGGGAGAGCAUAUGGCACAUGAACGGAAGGAUCAGCUCUGCAGAGUCCUGUAUACUAUCCUGUUACUCUGUGGUGACAUACAGUGAGUUGUUGUCACCGACAGCUGCUGCUCACGAACGCCACACUUGUGCCAGGACUGGUUUCGUAGCCAACGCGGCCUGUAUCUUUUAAAUUAAAGAUCCAGAGUUCGGUUUCACACACUCGACCAAGUAACAAUCAGUUUAGAAUGACUGAAAGUGUUAAAAAUGAUGUUCCUUUCAAUAGUUGAGUGCAAAUCUGUUAACAAAAGUCUCAAGAAUUAUUGAACUGCCGUUUUAUACAUGUAUGUGCAAAUUUCCCAUGAGGACUUUCUUCUUAAGUAAACCUUUCUCUUUUCAGCAAAGACAAAAACAGGGAUUCAGAUAAAUUACUCUCUCUUAGGUCACUGUCAGUUUUCUUUCUCGCUCUCUAAGCAGUUUUCUCAUCCUGGGUCUCUGGUGUAUCAGGGAGAAAUGAAGUGCAGGAGCAUAAUGCACCAUAUUGAUAUCUCACAUGUCAAAACAGGGCAAAUUACCAUCCCCUCUUAGAGUCUCUGACCCGACCUCGAGUGCAUAACAUCCGCACUUCCAGCUCAUCGAACCCUGUCAUUCAGCGGUACGAUGGAUGAUGGGUUUAGCAGGGCGGCCUUCAAACUCUGAGUUUUAAAGUCCUAUCAGUCCAGAUUAUUUCUUAUGUUGUUAGCAAAAUCAAAAGUUUACCCUGUUUUAUAUCCAGUCAAAUAAUCGAUCUGGUUUUACUAAAUUUCACAGUGUUGUAACUUGUCUGAAAGUGGGUUUGUCAGUGUGAAAAAUAUGUUUGACGUCGAGUUCAGGGGAUCUCGAUUUGUCUGAUUUUCUCUGUGUUUCUCUCUGACAGGUUCAUGAGGGGAAUCAUGACGGACCAUCAUGCAUCUAAAAGGCCAGAUGUUCGUCUCUCUGCAGCCCUUAGACCACCCACGGUGUGAGCUCAUAUCGAAGAAACCAUGAUUGGGAACUGAACUGAACCUGCUGUCUGUGAAAACUCCCCUGAAGUUUUGCUUCCAUCACAGUCCCUUUGUUUGAUGAUACGCACUUAAAAUACAGUCACCUCAAGCCGCAGUUUCACUUUUUUGUGCUGUUGCUCACGUUGUCUGGUUUGUUUUGCAGAAAUGACGUGCACGAGGGAAAAUGCACUAUAUCGAUAUCUGAUCAUGUCAGAACACAACAAAUUACCGUCCUGCCGUCUCUAAGACAGACUCCCUAAGAUUUGAUCCAUAAAUCAUCUACACUCGGCACUCAUCAGGCUGUCUCGCUCACAGGAGCAUUAAUGCGUUUUGUUGAUCAGCAUUUCAGAGGCCAUUAAGAGCAGAGAGCUUUGAUAGAAAAACACAGAGUUACAGACCUACCUGCAGAGAUCGGGAGCUAUUUUUGGACUGAUGGAUGAUGGUUCUCAUCAGGAGCAGAGUCCAAUUCUGUUUUUAUAUUCAUGAUAACACACUCAAAGUUCCCAGUACUGGAUAUCUCCUGGUAAAAACGGUCUUUUUAAUGCGAAACAAUCCACUCUAAUCAAGAAAAAUACAAAAAUCUUCAUGUUAAGUGGGAAAAAAAUCCUCUAAGAGGUAAACAAGACAUGCAGAGAUAUUGACACACAACAAGAACCAUCAAAGCGAGCACGCAGACCCACACACAGACAGUAGAUCACAGGCAUGUUUACAGACAGACAGACAGAGCAGACGGAUGAAUAAAUGAUGUGUGUGAUCUAUAAUGAAUGCCUCUCAUUCAUUACACAUUCUCACAUUCAACAGGCCACUCCACAGGCCACAACACUGUCCUCCCAGUCUGGGUCUGUAUCUGGCCAAUCACUGUGUGAGUUAGAUGAAUGCGUCUGGGAGACAGGAGGAAGAUCAUUGGUUUGUUUUGACAUCAGUGGGCGGAGUUAAAGGACCAUAGGAAUGUUUGGCUGAAUUCUACAUUUGUACAUCCGUAGGCUCUUUGAACGGACUGGUUGAAUUUGUAUACAAGAGGGUAAAAAUCACAGUGAAGUCAACUUGAAUUAAAUCAGGCAGCAUCAUACGAGUAAAGACGUGGCAGGUCUUUCUUUAAAGCAUCAAAAAGUAAAUAAACUAAAGAGCACUUUUUCAGGAAGCAAUAAGGAAGCAUCUAAUUUUCUUUAAUAAGGUCACAGGUGGUUCUGAUCCUACGCUGAGGUGAAGAAGACAUUAAAGAUGUGACCAAUGAGCUUUUAUGUUGUUUCGUGUUGAAUGGGAGGUGAUGAUCAAACAUGGCUCCCAUCUGUCCGUGUUGUGACCCGGUCGGUAUUUUACUGCACAAUCUGUUACAGGCGAGGUCAAUACCUCCAACUCAACCCCAGUUUUAAACAGUGUUGUUUUCGUCAGGCAGGACAAAAGCUAAAAUGAUGACGUCAGACCCCUUUUUUCCUUGACGAACAUGAGACUAAGACGAACGUCACCAAAGCUCUGUAAAGACUAAAAUGUGACGAAAAUUGUAUUCAUUUUUGUCAGACGAGAACGAGACGAGACUAAAUCGUUAUUAGGUGGACGAACAAAGUUUCAAAACAUGCUUUUUUUUGUCCUAACAGUCACGCCCCCAUCACACACGCACCAAAAGCCUCCUUCCUGGUCCUACUUCAGAUACAGUCCAUUAAGACGGGGGAAAAAAACAACUCACCUUUAGAAAGUUCGAUCUGUCUCAGUGUGCUUCAUUAUAAUACCUGUAUUGGCCUAUUAGAUACAUACACAUAUGUUAUGUAUAAGUAUCUUUGAUUUUUGACUAAAACUAUCAAGGAUAGAAAUGACUGAAAUGGGACUAAAACGAAGAAGCAUUUCGUCAAAAUGACUAAGACUAAAUCUAAAAUGCCAAAAACAACCCCAGUUUUAAAACACCGUCAUCAAAAAAUCCAAAACAAUCAAUCAAAACAGGCUCCUGUUACAAAACACUAUGCGGGUGAAUAGCCAAUCAUCUUCCACCUUAUGGACCGGUUAAACCAAUGUUGAUACCAGAUUCCAGGGCAGUGAUUGGCUGGUUGUAGUUGUGACUCAUAGAGCUAAAAGAGCAACAGACUGAGGAUUAAACAUCAUCCAGAUGAAGCUCAGAGAUCAGAGGAGGGAUUAGGAGAAUGAUAGUGGAUGGGAGGGGGAGUUUAGAGCGCCCUGAGGGGUGAGGAGGGAGGAGAGAAGAUGGGGAAGGGGGAGGUUAUCGCCAUUUGCUUUGUGUCUUUAUGGAUGCAGUCCCACCUCUUCAGGUUGUCCUCAGGGCAUAGUACAGUUAAAACCUUCAUUCAUGGAUGCAUUUCCAAACUUUAUCCUCAGAUGAUGGUUUUAGGAAGUGAUUCUGAGCCCAUGCAGAGGUUUCCACUCCAGAGACACGUCUGUUUUUAAUGUCUGAGGAUCAUGACCUUGUCCCUUUCCUUCAGAGAUUUCUAAAUGAUUUUGUAGACUGCAGAUGAUAAAAUCCCCCAAUCUUUGCAGUCUUACACUGAGGGACAUUAGAUCUGCUGAAUGAUUUACUCACGCAGUCUCUCACAGAGCGCUGACCCUCCUCUCAUCUUCACCCUUGCAGCCUCUUUUAUCCACAGACUUUGGACUUCAUAUAACUAAUCUGCCACUUCAUAGAAAAUCACAGGAGGGGGUAUUUAAUUAGCUGUCAUCUGGAAAACCAUGUUCCUGUUUUAUAAAAGACCAAGUUGACCUUUGACCCCUGCAGCCUGGUCCCCGCUGGGGCUGAUGGGAGCAGAACAAUGGGACCUGCAGGCCAGUGCGCUGAUCUACAAGUGUUACGGCGCCCGGGGUCAGCCGUGUUACCAUACGCUCAUGUCUGGACGGCUUUGUGCUGGCUUCACUGCACAGACACACACACACACACAGAGUUACCAUCAGAAGAUCUUAAUCAGUACUGGUAUAAUUAGAGAAAUAAUCCGAUUAUUGAUUCUGCUUUCACUCUUCGUCUGUUCGCAUGAAUCCAAGCAGAAAGAUUUAGAAGCUGUCAGACAAUGAACUCAAUGAUGGUGUGAAAAUUACACUUUUAUUGACUUACAAAGAAACAAAAUCCACUUCAAAAGUCUCUGAUUUAAAGUAUUUCUGAGAAAAGGUUUGUAACUAAAGUGAAGGUGGCGCUCUGAGCUUGGAAAGUGUUUGUAUUGGUCAGAUUUAGCAUCUAUUCAAACCAUCUCUGCCUUUCAGUUGCUUUAAGUUCAUCUUCAUCAUUCGCCCGGUUUUUCCGUUAUCCCCUGCGGGUCAAAUCUCUCCGUUUCUUUGUACCUGAGCGACAGAUUCACGCCUCUGAUUCAGCCGUUCCCUUCAUUAUCUGUUUUUGUUUGCGAGACAACAGAGGCUCAAACCGACACACUCCUCUGGUGUCUGUCGGCUUUGUGAGGCGCGUGGCGUUUCUCUUUGUCCGCAGGUCUGACUUUUGUUUCAGGGCGUGUGUGUGUGUGUGUGUGACACUUUCAGGUGUAUCUGAUGACCCGGGUAUGCUGAGACGGCGGGAGAUUUAAAAGUUGGAAACAUAAACCUUCUCCUAAGUUUUGGUUUGAAAAUGGUGAUCUCCCUUUGACCUUCUCUGACCUUCCUGAAAAAUUCUACUUACAGUACAGGACCAAUAAUGUUUACAUCGGAUGUUUUCACUCAGGAUUAAUCAAUAAAUGAUCCUACUAAAAAGAGGUUCCUUUAUGUGUGUGUAUGUGUGUGUGUGUGUGGUUUGGCCUGAGGCCUGUCAGAUAAUGCAGCGUGGAUCUAUAGCAGCAGCAGUCACAUCUGUCUCUGCGCUCUCAGACUAACCUGCCUGCUCUUAUUAUCCCCACAUUGACCCCCUCGCCCCCCGCUCGCCGUCUGUAAAACAGCUGACCAGCUGAGGCCCGACAGCCGUUCGCCCCGCAGGAAUUACCCUGAAUGAUCCGCGACACUCAAUGAUUAACUUUUAUUUUGCUCAUUUAAAAACAGGGAUUUGCUCAAGAAUUAACAAGCUAUGAAGAGGAAUCUGUGUUUGGUACUUUCGGUAACCCUUUAAUUAAUGCCAAUCACUGUAAUGCAUAAGAAAUAUAUGUAUAAUGAGUUAUAAUCACGUUAUAGCAGUUUAGUUAUAAACGCUCAUAAAUGAUCAUAAUGCUUUACAGCAAUAAUUAUAACACAUUAUAAAGCAUUUUAUCAUGACUUACAAGGUCAGGUAUUAUAGUGUGUUAUAACUGUUAACAACUCACUGACAGUGCCCACAUAGAUAAUGCAAUACAACUGUUGUUAACAGUUAUAACACAUUUUAAUACCUGACCUUGUAAGUCAUGAUAAAAUGCUUUAUAAUGUGUUUUGAUUAUUGCUGUAAAGCAUUAUGAUCAUCAAUGAGUGUUUAUAACUAUAGUUAUACAGUGCUAUAAUGUGUUUAUAACUCAUUAUACAUGUAUUUAUUAUGCGUUAUAGAGAUAGGCAUCAAGUAAAGUGUUACCAUAAUUUCCUUUAAAUCCAAAUUUAUUAUUUAAGCACAUUUAGAAACAACAAAAUGUUGACCAAAGUGCUGUACAGUAAAAUGAUAAAUCAGACGAUUAACACAAACUAUGAAAAACACAGACAGUAAAAACAGGAGGGCAUAAAUGGUUCGUUGAAAACAUUAAUAAAAGCCAAAUUCUUAAAAGCUGAAAGACUAAAAGAGCGUUUUUUACGUUUGAUUUAAAGACAGGCAGUGAAAAGUUCCGUCACCCCUGAGCUUCAACCUUGACCGACCUCAGGACAGUCAGAAGACACCGGUCAGAGGAUCUGAGAGUCUGAGUGUAGCGACUGCUUUCCUUCAACAAAAACGCUUGUCUCUGCGAUCCGUUAGUUCAUCAGUCCGGUUGAGUGUUAAAGGUGAUUUAUUGUUCAAAUAAAGAAGGAAAACUUACAGUCUAACACUGAUCCAGAUCCAAACUUUGCCUUAAAAUGAAAAGCAAUAAGAUGAAAUGAGGGUGAAAAGGGAUAAGUGAAAAACGGUCAACGGAAAACUAUCAGAGCCAAACAUCCUGAAACCACUCAGUGUCGAAGUGACACACCGAUUUGACAAGGUUAGGAAGAUAAAAAGGAGCAAGCCCGUUUAAAGAUUUUUAAGUUAAUAAAAUUCUUCACACAGAAAUCCAAUGAAGAGAGAGUCAAAUUGGAAAAAACAUGGUCAUAUUUUCAUCGAUCAGUUUAAAGAUGAGCUGCUGCAUGUUGAACAACUCAGAGAGGUUUGUCUGGCCCCAAAAUAAAGAGCAUCACAGUUAACAAGACAAGCUGUGCAUUCCUUUUUAAAAUCACUAAAAGAUAAAAGAGACUUCACCUUAGUUAAAAGAGGAAGAUGAUAAAAACUGGCACUUCUACACUCUACCACACUUUAAAAUUUGACUCUCCACCAUCAGCUGUUUAAAUUCUUGUCCUCGACUCUCAGUUUAAAUAAAGUUUCCUCCAGACAUGAUGAUAAAUCACUGACUUCAUCUGCACGGCUCGGCCAUGAUGGAUCAUUUGAAUCAGCGCAGUGUUACUAAUUAUUCGAUUAAUGGCGGACCCCACUGAGUGUCAACACCCAUAAUCCCUUGCUGCUUUUGAGGGGAAUGCCAAUAAGGGAGCCACAUGCUAAGAGGCUGAGUGCAGAUUGCAUGCGACCACUAUUGACUGAGCGGUGGGGAAAUGUCCGCACUGAUUGUGACCUAAAGCCUCUGAGAUGUCCUGAGAUGAUUCCAGUGAGACGAUAAGGAGAAGAGGGGGACAUAACCUCAUAUCAUGUGCUGAGAUUUAUGCCCCUGAUUAUAUUAUAGUUGAUUGUAUCAUGUGUUUUUAUGCAUUAUUAUAUCAGAAACUUUCAUAAGCGGAUUUCUGCAAACUCUGAUUUCUCUUUUUUGCGGUCAAAAGGUGGAUUUAGCAUCAGGACUUAAUUUCGCUGAAGGCCUCAAGGACCAGCAUUUAUCCCUCUGUCACUGUCUGUGUACCUUCAGUGGGAGCCCGCGGUGGUCCCCGUGGACUCUUGUCACCGGACUGUCAGGAACAGGCUGCGAACACAACACGGCGUCACUUCACGGAUCAAUAAGUGAAGACGAGAUGAACGAGGUCAGAGGGAGAGAGAGAAGAUGGAUGAGAAGCGUCCCCCCUCGUUUGUUCGCCUGUUCACACUCUGCUCUGCAUUACCUGGAUCACAGAGCACACACUCCCUGUGGGGCACACACACACACACACACACACACACACACACACACACUUUUACGUACACAGAGGAACAGCGGGCAAACAAUCAAUUUACACCACUUAGUUUGUCAUUUGGAGUUUAUCAUUUGGUUUUUAUCACCGCUCUGUAUUGAUUCCCGACAGGAGGAGACACAAAGUGAUUUCAGUGAGAAAAACUGAGCGCCAAAAUCUUCUUCGUCGUUUAGAGGGAGAGACGAUUUUUAUAAAAGCCGAGGAUGGCAGAAAAAAAAGGGUUUUGGAUAACCUGAUUAUUAAAGUCCAUCUCAAAUCCCAACUUUAAUCCAAUUUAAUCCUGCAUGCCAACAAAUUAAUAGAGCUGCAGUAAUAGUGUCAGUCCCAUACAACAUAUUUAAUAUGACGUGUUGGUCCAUUUGAUAAAGAUCAGCUUUACGCUGACUAAAUAUGUGUUUUGUUGGUCUUAUACGUGUAAUCUGGUGAAUUAAUCCAAUGUGUUUACAACAGUAUUUGAUAGCUUGUAAAUAUAAAUAGUGCAAAGACAACCAAUAUUGAAGCUAGGUCUGUCACAAUGUCCUGGUAUUGACGAUAACAGCAUAUGCUUAUACCUGGAGUUUAUGACUGUGGUUGCCACAGAAGAAGCAACAGCCAUACUUGGACUUCUUUAGGCUAACUGUCUUCACACACCAAGCGGGAGUAAAAUCAUUUGUGCAAAUAAAUUCAAUGUUAAGUCAAUGCAAAGACGCAAUUAGUCGCUACUACUACUCUGGCGGCAUAAAUGACGCGAAUCAGGCGGGAGCUGAAAAUGUCUCAACUUGAGCGAAUAUUCCCGUCGCGAUAACUAAUCAUGAAGAAGGUUGCCGGGUGACGUAUGAAAACAGACUGUUGUUCAUCUGAAAUGGAGAAAAAACUGAUUGUGUUGGUGUGCCUGGUUAGUUGUAAAAAAAAAAACAAACCUUUGUCUAUCACUUGAUCCCGCCGGUUGAGUUGGCAGGGAUUACCGUUGAAAUUACCGCUGAUACGCGAAUGAAGCGAGUAAAUACUAUUCAUUCAGGAGUCUAGAUUUGAGCGAAUUAAGCGAGGAGAUGAUUUUACUCGCGCUUGCUGUGAGCGCCCCGUAAAUAUUUUUUUCUUGUUAAGUGUUAUUUUAACGUUUUUCUGUAACUUGCGAUCUACUGAAAGUAGUAAACUUCAAAAUAAAAGUUUAACCAAGCAGAAAAUAAAGCAUCUGAACACCGGACGGAAAAACCAAGAAAUCCUAAUGAAGCUGAGAAUCGACAUGACUCUGUAGUGGAAGUUACUACAUUGGCCCAAAAUCACAUCCUAAAACAGUGUCUGUGCAUCUAAAACGCAGGUUCACAUGAGGUCUUAACUCUGUUGAAAUGGAGGUAGAAUAAUAUAAUAUUGUGUUUCUGCACAUUUGAAUAGAAUAGAAUAGAAUAUUCCUUUAUUGAUUUGUCACAGCAGCAUCACAGACAAAAAUGCAGUUAUAAAAAUAAGGAUCCUAAUAUUAAGAAAUUUAAAUAAAUGUAAUAAUUAAGAAAAAAAAUAGAAAAAGGAAAAAGGGAGAAGAAAAAUAAAACUAUCUACAAUAUACACAAUUUAAGUACCAGAAGAAAGUGGUGGUGUGAGUCCAGUUAUUAUUACAGUUCGUUGUGAAGUCUUAUUGCAGAGGGGAGGAAUGACCUGCGGCUCCGUCUUGUAAGGUGGAAGUCUCAGUCUGCAGCUGAAGGAGCUGCCUAAAGCCCCCACAGUCUGAUUCAGUGGGUGAGAGGGAUUGUCCAUGAUGGAUACAAGCUUUGUUAACAUCCUCCUCUCACCCACCUCCUCCAGGGAGUCCAAAGAACAGUCCAGGACAGACCCGGCCCUCCUGACCAGUCUGUUCAGUCUCUUCCUGUCCCUCUCGGUGCUCCCUGCCCCCCAGCAGACCACCGCAUAGAAAAGUGCAGAUGCCACCACAGAGUCAUAGAAAGUCCUGAGCAGAGUCCUGCACACUCCAAAAGACCUCAGUCUCCUCAGCAGGUGGAGACGACUUUGGCCCUUCUUGUACAGAACGUCUGUGUUUGUUGACCAGUCCAGUUUGUUGUUGAGGUGGACACCCAGGAAUCUGUAGGACAGUCUGAGGUGUCCUCCUCCUGCAGAAAUCCACAACCAUCUCCUUUGUCCUACUGGCGUUGAGCUGGAGGUGG
rnacentral:lncRNA from 1 species